GCGGAAGUAGUUCCAGCCCCGGCCAAGCACCAUGUGCCCCUCGAAGUUCUGGACCUGCACCCAGAACACGCACUGCUUGUUCGUCGACAGCCUGACCAUGCACGGGAGCCGCUUGAUGACCAGCCAGGUGUUCAUCACCUCCACGAACUUGGGAGGGACGAUGAGCAUGGCGAGGUCCUCGUUGUCCUUGAUCUGCUGGUAGAAGCGCAUCGGCUCCCUGGCCCCCUCCUCGUGGCCCUGCCUCGGAGAUCGUCCCCUUGAACGAGGCACGCUC
rnacentral:rRNA from 1 species